UACGAAGGGGGGCUAGCGUUGUUCGGAAUUACUGGGCGUAAAGCGCGCGCAGGCGGUCCUUUAAGUCAGGGGUGAAAGCCCAGAGCUCAACUCUGGAACUGCCUUUGAAACUAGAGGACUUGGGUACGGGAGAGGUGAGUGGAAUUCCGAGUGUAGAGGUGAAAUUCGUAGAUAUUCGGAAGAACACCAGUGGCGAAGGCGGCUCACUGGCCCGUUACCGACGCUCAGGCGCGACAGCGUGGGGAGCAAACAGG
rnacentral:rRNA from 1 species